UGGGGAAUAUUGCACAAUGGGGGAAACCCUGAUGCAGCGACGCCGCGUGAGUGAAGAAGUAUUUCGGUAUGUAAAGCUCUAUCAGCAGGGAAGAAAAUGACGGUACCUGACUAAGAAGCUCCGGCUAAAUACGUGCCAGCAGCCGCGGUAAUACGUAUGGAGCAAGCGUUAUCCGGAUUUACUGGGUGUAAAGGGUGCGUAGGCGGCAGGGCAAGUCAGAUGUGAAAGCCCGGGGCUCAACCCCGGUAGUGCAUUUGAAACUGCUUUGCUGGAGUACGGGAGAGGUAAGCGGAAUUCCUAGUGUAGCGGUGAAAUGCGUAGAUAUUAGGAGGAACACCAGUGGCGAAGGCGGCUUACUGGACCGUAACUGACGCUGAGGCACGAAAGCGUGGGGAGCAAACAGGAUUAGAUACCCUGGUAGU
rnacentral:rRNA from 1 species